rnacentral:rRNA from 1 species
GACGAACGCUGGCGGCGUGCUUAACACAUGCAAGUCGAACGGUGAAGCAGAGCUUGCUCGGUGGAUCAGUGGCGAACGGGGGAGUAACACGUGAGUAACCCGCCCUCGACUCUGGGAUAAGCGUUGGAAACGACGUCUAAUACCGGAGACGAGCGGAGACCGCAUGGGCAGCAGGUUGAAAGAUUUUGUGGUCAAGGAUGGACUCGCGGCCUAUCAGCUUGUUGGUGAGGGAAUGGCUCACCAAGGCGACGACGGGUAGCCGGCCUGAGAGGGUGACCGGCCACACUGGGACUGAGACACGGCCCAGACUCCUACGGGAGGCAGCAGUGGGGAAUAUUGCACAAUGGGCGGAAGCCUGAUGCAGCAACGCCGCGUGAGGGAUGACGGCCUUCGGGUUGUAAACCUCUUUUAGUAGGGAAGAAGCGAAAGUGACGGUACCUGCAGAAAAAGCACCGGCUAACUACGUG